rnacentral:rRNA from 1 species
UACGGGGGGGGCAAGCGUUGUUCGGAAUUACUGGGCGUAAAGCGCACGUAGGCGGACAUUUAAGUCAGGGGUGAAAUCCCAGAGCUCAACUCUGGAACUGCCUUUGAUACUGGGUGUCUUGAGUAUGGAAGAGGUGAGAGGAAUUCCGAGUGUAGAGGUGAAAUUCGUAGAUAUUCGGAGGAACACCAGUGGCGAAGGCGGCUCACUGGUCCAUUACUGACGCUGAGGUGCGAAAGCGUGGGGAGCAAACAGG